GCUGUCCUGGGCUGGGCCGGGCGGCUGUAUGGCGGCCUGCGAGCGGCUGGGCGGCGGCGCCCUGCGGGAGCUGCUGGCCCGCACCCAGGGCGUGCUGUUCGACUGCGACGGGGUGCUUUGGAACGGCGAGCGCGCCGUGCCGGGCGCGCCCGAGCUGCUGGAGCGGCUGGGCCGCGGCGGCAAGGCGGCGCUCUUCGUGAGCAACAACAGCAGGCGCUCGGUGGCGGAGCUGGCCGGUCGCUUCGCGCGCCUCGGCUUCCGCGGCGUGGCGGCCGAGCAGCUGUUUAGCUCGGCGCUGUGCGCGGCGCGCCUGCUGCGCCAGCGCCUGCCGCAGCCCUGCCCGCCGGGUGCCGUCUUCGUGCUGGGCGGCGACGGGCUGCGGGGCGAGCUGCGGGCGGCGGGGCUACGCCUGGCCGGCGACGAGCCGGGGCCUGUGCGCGCAGUGCUCGUGGGCUACGACGAGCAUUUCACCUUCGCCAAACUGAGCGAGGCCUGCGCCCACCUGCGCGACCCCGACUGCCUCCUGGUGGCCACCGACGUGGACCCAUGGCACCCACUCACCGACGGCCGCACCACCCCCGGGACUGGGAGCCUGACAGCAGCAGUGGAGACGGCAUCAGGACGCCAGGCCGUAGUGGUGGGCAAACCCAGCACCUACAUGUUUGAGUGUAUCACAGAGCACUUUGGUGUGGACCCAGCUCACACCCUAAUGGUGGGUGACCGCCUGGAGACGGACAUCCUCUUUGGUCACCGCUGUGGCCUGACCACCGUGCUCACCCUCACUGGAGUCUCCAGGCUGGAUCAGGCCCAGGCCUACUUGUCUGCAGGCCAGCUUGACCUGGUGCCUCACUACUACGUGGACAGUAUUGCAGACUUGAUAGCAGGUCUGGAGGACUGAGGCAGCCUGAUCAGAUGCAGGCAGCCAAGAGGACAGGCUGUCAUCUUAUUCUCAUUUCUUCUCUCCUGGUCUCUUACACUGUAGUCAUGAGAGGACCUCUUCCCCAGUCUCCAUUUCCUGGUCCAGUUUGGAUAUUUCCCUCUCCCCAACCCCAGCACACACACACACACACACACACACACACACACACACACACACAUACACACACACAUGCAAACACACACACAAACACUCUGAUUCUCCAUCUUCUGGGAUCAGCAGGUCAGGACCUGCCUCUCAGCUCCCCAAGGGACCUACUUGUCUCUUCUCCCUUUAGCUUGGGCUAGGUGUCCUCUCCCCUCAUUACCUCCUGCAUCCCUCUCCUAGGUGCCAUUUCCCUAAUGGCAGCAUCCCCUCCCCCCUCUGAUCAGCCCCCAUUUCCUCCUCCUUUCAGCUCUGACUUGGUUGAUGCUGCCUUAACUUUUUUCUCCCGACUUUCUCUUUUCUAGACCCAGGAGCUAUGACUCUGGGGGCACAGGGUGCCUCACUUUCCUUCUCCAUAAAAAUGAGGGUGUUAGACUAAAUGACCUCUGAGCCCCCUUCCAGCUCUGAAUCUAUGAUCUUAAGGGGCCCUUUCUUGGAACACUCUGUGCCAUUAAUUCCCCAAACCCCUUGUUCUGCCUGGUUCAGAGGCUUUCCUUCUCCCAUACACACUUACCCUCCACUGGGUCGAGCUUAGGCUCUUGUAUCAAACUGAGCCGAUCAGCCUGGUUCAAAGUUCUGGAGCAUCAAGUGUGAGUCAUUGAGUCCUGUCUCCUAAGUGACCAAUCAGAAGCCUGGAAUCCAUUGAAGUUCCAGGGGUCAGAAUGAAGAGCAUUUGGGGCAGAGGGUGGCAUUGGAGGACCAUUGGAUCAAACAUAGUCUCGGAGCUGGAAGGAACCAUUUGACUCAAUCAUUUCACAAUUAAGAAGUUGAAUUAUUUGUCCAAGAUUACAGAAGACUCAAGUUGAGGAGACAGUAAUUGUUACUUGAUUUUGCUUUAAGAUUGGGUUCCCCUAUCUCACCCAGGC